CGUGUAGGCGGUUAGGCAAGUCAGAUGUGAAAUCCCUUGGCUCAACCAAGGAAGUGCAUUUGAAACUGCUUAACUAGAGUACAGGAGGGGAAAGUGGAAUUCCCAGUGUAGAGGUGAAAUUCAUAGAUAUUGGGAGGAACACCGGUAGCGAAGGCGGCUUUCUGGCCUGAUACUGACGCUGAGACGCGAAGGCGUGGGGAGCAAACA
rnacentral:rRNA from 1 species